GUCUUGAAAUCUAGGAUUGUAAUACCUCCAGUUCUGAUCUUUUUCAAGAUUGCUUUGGUUAUUUGGGGUCUUUUGUGGUUCCAUACAAAUUUUAGGAUUAUUUGUUCAAGUUUACUCCUUAUAUUUGUAAAAUCAUAACAUGACCACUGUGGAAAGAAGAGGAAUUGUUAGAGGAUAGCAAGAAGGAGCUGGUGUGGUUCAUUCUGAGGGUUAGAGUCAUUUCUUGGGUGGUAGGAGGCCAGCCCGAGUCCCUACCAGUCAAGGCAAGGGAUAAUAGUAAAAACCAGAUGGAGGUUGACCAAGCAAUGUUAUUGACUGGGACCUGCUAGUUGAAGAGCCCAGAUUUGCUGGUUUUCUAGUGAACAGAAAAUACUAAUCAAAUAGAGGAUAAAGCAGUUGGACGGUAACUGUCAUUGAGAUAGAAUGUGGAGAGGUUAAGGGAGGAAAGUGAGCCCGAGUCCCUGCUACCGUGCCAAUUACUCUCUGAAUAAGGCAAGUGACUUCUUGGCUGAAUUGGAGUUCAGGAUGUUGCCCUUGGUUUGUGCUUUUUAUUUCCAUGUCUGCACUGGGCAGGGCAGACAAAGCUGCAGUAACCUGUGAAUAUCCCAUAAGCAUUGAAGGAACAAGAUCUGAUGGGUGGGAUGCCAAGAGAUGUAAUGCAGGGAAGUUCCAGAACUCUCAGUCUGUAGGCAAGCAGUAGUCCUCAAGAAAAUGAACUGUUGCCUGAACUCCCUCCUGUUUUCAAAUGGAAUUUGUUGAAUUCCUCAGUCAAAAGCAGGUUUUAGAAGCUGUUCAGGGCCUGGGUGCAAGGAAGUCCUGAGCCAGGCCAAGCCACCUGGUAGAGUGUGGCUGAAGCGACAUCCCAAAGAGACUUCCCCCACGUGUGGAAGCCACAGAUCAGUGUCCUGGCCCCUGUUCAAGUAGCAAGGACCUAAAGACCACUGGAACCUUUGAGCCCCCUCCCCCUCACAGAGAAGGAAGCUGAGACCCAGGUCAGUUAUGCAGUUUAGCCAAAGUCACCCACAGUGCCCACAACCAGCCCCUCCCUGCCCCCAUCACUGACAGCGCCCCAUAAACCCCACCACCCACUUAGGGAAAAUGAGAUUCUUCUCAGGAAACAGCCAGAAAGUCCGCUCUAGUAUGUAUUUAAUGAGCUAAUGCAAUCUCCUCCCAGGGAUUUCUGCAGUUUCAGUCUUGUCUUAAACGCUUUGUGUCCACUAAACAGAUCCCAGGCUCUGUCUUGUAAAUGUAUAAAUGAGCACCUGUCUCGUAAGUUGAGUUUCAUUAAACCAGCAGACUAAUAGCUUUCAGGGUCUGUGAGAGAGAUAUGCUGUCAAUCUUGUUACCAGCUGUUAGGGGCUGAAUGGUGUCUCCCUAAAAUUCCUAUGUUGAAGUCCUGACCCCCAGCACCUCAGAAUGUGACUGUAUUUGGACAUAGGGCCUUUAAAGGGGUAAUUAAGUUAAAAUGAGGUCAUAUGGGUGCACUUUGAUGCAAUAUCACCGGUGUCCUUAUAAAAAAAAGAUUAGGACACAGACACACGUGGGGGAAGGAUGUGAACACACAGGAAAGAGAGAGAGGAGUCGGGAGAAACCAAACCUGCCAACACCUUGAUCUUGGACUUCCAGCCUCCAGACUGUGAGACAGAACUUUAUGGUGUUGAAGCCGCAGCCUGGGCUGCUUUGUUACAGCAGAGGCAGCAAACGCAGACACCAGCUAUUAGCAUAGAGACAAAUGGAACGGAGCAGAAAGUCCUUGGCAUAUUCUGCAGAGAAGCGUGCCAAAGGGUGGUGGUCUUUCAGCAGCAGGAGCCGGGGUGCUGAUCCUAGUUUCUGGGAAGAAGGCAGCAGGGCAAAGUGGAAUGUCCAUCCCCCAAACUGCACCCCCUGCCCCAACGAGAGAUCUGGUUAUGCUUAUCUAAUCAGGCUCAGUCAAGAAGAGAAAAAAAAUGCAUAGCAGUGUUAUUCACAACAGCCAAAAGGGGGGAGCAAUCCAAAUGCCCAUCAGCAGAUGAGCAGAUAAACAAAUGUGGAUGUAGACACAAUGGGAUAUUAUCCGGCCUUAAAAAGGAAUGGAAUUCUGAUCCGUGCUACAACACCGAUGGACCUUGAAAACAUCAUGCUGGAUGAAAUAAGCCCAUCACAGUAGAGGACACGUAUUGUACAACUCCACCAAUAUCCUCAAAUCCAUAGAGACAGAAAAUAGAGCAGGACUUAACGGGAAGGGGGAGAUAUUGUUCAGUGGGCACAGAGUUCAUGUUUGGGAUGAUGAAAGUUUCAGGUACAGAUAGUGGUAAUAGUUAUACAAUGUUAUGAAUGUAUUUCAUGCCACUAAACUGCACACUUAAAGUGACAAUUGUUAUGUUGUAUUUCCACCACAAUUUUAUAAAUUUAGCAUAAAUCAAAAAUUUAAUAUUUUCAAAGAAUUUUUAUUCAAAAGGAAGAGAAAAAAUGCCCUUAAGGAGUUUCACUCAGUUCCACCCUCUUAGCUGGGGAGAAGGUCUUGCUGGGAAUGGAAGAAGGCGUUUUGGAUCUCGUGGUGGGGGGCCGAGUCCAGACCCUGGAGGUUUUUCUAGGGGAGAUUUAUAUGGGCUCAAGUCAGCAAAGGGUGGGAAGUUAAGAAUGUUAGGAGGAUAGAGAAUAGAAUUGGAAAGGUCCAAUGACCAAGUUCACCUCUUUUGAAUUCUCCUCACACCCCCCCCCCAGAGGCUACUUUCUCAUCCCUCCCCAACUCUGGCUUGAUUUUCUCCAUAGUUGCCUGUGUCUCCGAGACUUUGGGUGCCCGUGCCUCUCUCACUUCACUCCUCUUUGCCUGUUGAAGUAUCAUAUUCUGAAAGGUGGCAGGAGAAAUAUUUGCAGGGUCCAGCCCCAACAUCCCCUAGCAGGGCAAAGAAGGAUGGACUUGGAACCCCUUGUGCACUACUAGCUGGUGCGAAGCCCUCUGCCGGCGGCACCCAGGACACCUGAUUGCCCCUUCCUUCGAAUAUUACCAGGAGGACUCCGACAGCCCCCUGCCGCAAAUGGCCAGGGUGAGCAUCCCUGUGCUCAGGGACGUUCUCUUACGCACUAGAGCGAAGAUUCUCAGAGCUGCAGCCAGUGGGAUUGCUGGGCAUACCACACAGGAACUUACGAAGUGCUGCUAAGCUGCUCUCCAGAACACUGCACAGUCUACCAUCCAAUCUGUACUGCGCAAGGAUUUCCAUUUCCCUACCUCCUUGUCAGCAAUCGCUACCACCUGACUUUCUAAUUCUUCCUAUGCUGUGGGUGUAAAGUGGCAUCUCAUACAAUUUGCAUCUCUUUGGCUAAUAAUGAAGUCGAACAUUUCUUCAUAUUUUCCCUUUUAUAUCCUGGGCCCAUUCUUCUGCUGAUUUCCUGACUUUUGUUUUGUUAAUUUCCUUGGAAAUUCUAGAUAAGAUGUCAAUAAACUUUACUGUCAAGGGCCCAGAUAGUAAGCAUUUUUGGAUUUGCAGGCCAUAUGUUCUCUGCUGCACCCACUCAACUCUGCUGCUAAAGCAUGUAGCGGCUAUGACGAUGCGUAAGGGAGCGAGCAGGGCUGUGUUCCGAUAAAACUUACACAAAAAGGUGUAAAUACAUACAGCAGAAAAGGUCUGAAGAAGUCGGUGUCAUUGAAAUGAAUUGGACGCUUAACCACUGAGCCACACAAGCACCUCAUAAAGGUUGUAUUUUUAAAGAAAAUUUAUUAUUCUUUUUGCUUAAAGUGGGUUUCAAUUUGUAUCACCACAAUAAUGCAGCAGAGCAGAGAGCACUCCAGAACUCAGGGGCUUAAAACAACGUGUGUUUACUAUUGGCAAGUGUGCAUAUGUCGGUUGAGGUUCGGCCUGUCGGGGCUGGGGCAGCUUUGUUUCUCACAACAGGUGGUGGCUUGGCUCCCCGGGUCUCUCCUCCACACCGCGGUGUGCUUUGCCAGAGCCCAUUCUUCUGACGUGAUAGCAACAGUGCAAAGGACAACCAGGAGCAGGCAAGGCCUCUCAAGGCCUAGGGCUUCAGUGGACAUAUAGCCAAGCUCAAGGUCAAGGGGCAAGAGGUAUACUCUAUGCACACGAAGCUGAUGGAAGGGUGUGGAAGCAGAGAGCGUGGAAGACUUGGAGUCAUCAACGCCAUCUACCAAGAAGAGGGUGAAAUCUAAACUCCACUACCUAGAUUUCGAAUUCUCCUAUUGUCUGGUCUCACUCCAUUCAUCCAAUCCACGCCUCUGCUUUGGGCUAUUCAUCUAGGACACAGUUCAUGGACCUUGGGAAUCUUCUAGAAGCUGCACAAGAUUGGGCAAUCCCAGACAGCAACCUGCCUUCCAACUGCAGGCCAAACUUAGCUUGCCGCUGCUUUCCCACCACACAAAAAAGAGGGGGCAGUUUUAUGGGUCUGCUUGUUAUCCACAGUGUUUAUAAAACAAACAAAUGUUAAACAGUUUUUCCUCUAGGAAAUAAACCAAACCAGAGAUCUUCUUUAUGAUCUUUUAUUUUAGUUCUUUGGGGGAAAAAAGUCUCCAGGAAUUAUUUUCUCAAUAAACAAUGACAACAGUUUGUUUUCAUGGGAUUGACUUGAAUCCUCCCCCACUUUCUUUUUUUGGAGUAAGAGGUUGACUACAGAAAUGAGAAAGAGAUUUUUUUAUUCUUUUUUUUGUAUGUGGUUUCUCUGGCUGGAAAAUAAAAGCUCUGCAUUCUUUCUGUA